rnacentral:rRNA from 1 species
CAGUCGCGCGGUAAUACGAAGGGGGCUAGCGUUGUUCGGAUUUACUGGGCGUAAAGCGCACGUAGGCGGAUCCUUAAGUCAGAGGUGAAAUCCCAAGGCUCAACCUUGGAACUGCCUUUGAUACUGGGGAUCUCGAGUCCGGGAGAGGUGAGUGGAACUGCGAGUGUAGAGGUGAAAUUCGUAGAUAUUCGCAAGAACACCAGUGGCGAAGGCGGCUCACUGGCCCGGUACUGACGCUGAGGUGCGAAAGCGUGGGGAGCAAACAGGAUUAGAUACCCCAGUAGUCCCUGUCUCUUAUACA